rnacentral:lncRNA from 13 species
UAGAAGACAUCGAAGACAAUGAGCUACCCCGUGACGUGGUAAGAUGCAUUUUUUGGCUCGAAAAGAAAUUUUCAUUUUCCGGGGUCUAAGGAAUAUCUAGUGAAUAUCAUUUUUGACUGCCCUUGUGAAUACGAUGUCAGUUGUCAUGGACUCUAGCGACCAGUCAGUGGAGAUUCUGACCAACUGAGGCCUGAUUGACGAUGUCCGUCAAAAGAUGGCAUAACUUAGAAUCUGGUUUUGGGCAUAUUUCUCAGUAGCCACAUUUUCUUCUUGAAAAAUAAUUUUGUAUUUUUCAGCCAGUAUAGAUAGUUGCUAGGUAUUCCAAACCCACAGCAUUUUCUGCAAGGAUCCCCUGUGCUUUAUUCGGGGCCUGUGACUUCAUCACUGUUUCACAUCUGGUUUUUUGUUUAGUUUACUUUUGUUGUUGAGACAGAGUCUCUCUUUCACCAGGCUACAGUGCAGUGGUGUUAUCUCACAUCACUGCAGUUUCCUCCGACUGCAUUCAAGCAAUUCUCCUGACUCAGCCUUUCGAAUAGCUGGGACUGAAGGUUGUCGCCACCACCAUGCCGGGUUUCUUGUAGGUUUUAGUAGAGACGGGGUUUCACCAUGUUGGCCAGGAUGGUCUCAACCUCUUGCAUUCAUGAUCUUCCUACCUCAGCCUCCCCAGAUGCUGGCAUUACAUGCAUGAGCCACCGCGCCCAGUCUGCCGUCUGGUUUCCUAAUGUCACCAAGUGAAUACAAGACCUGUGCCAAUAGGACCCAGCAUGGUGUAAUCUUCAUGGUGUUUCUUUUUCUCUUAUUGCAGGAGAAGCCUGCGCCCCAGUAUCACCAGCGUCCUGUGGAGGUCUUACAGGACCUUAUAUUAGAUGACAUCAAAGACCAUGAGCUACCCCGUGACGUGGUAAGAUGCAUUUUUUGGCUCGAAAAGAAAUUUUUAUUUUCUGUGGCCUCAGGAAUAUCUAGUGAAUAUCAUUUUUGA